AGUGAGGCUUCCGGACUGGCCCAGAGAGGUCGGCAACGACCACUCAGGGCCGGAAAGCUAUCCAAACUCGGUCAUUUAGAGGAAGUAAAAGUCGUAACAAGGU
rnacentral:rRNA from 1 species